UACGUAGGGUGCGAGCGUUGUCCGGAAUUACUGGGCGUAAAGAGCUCGUAGGUGGUUUGUCGCGUUGUUCGUGAAAACUCACAGCUUAACUGUGGGCGUGCGGGCGAUACGGGCAGACUGGAGUACUGCAGGGGAGACUGGAAUUCCUGGUGUAGCGGUGGAAUGCGCAGAUAUCAGGAGGAACACCGGUGGCGAAGGCGGGUCUCUGGGCAGUAACUGACGCUGAGAUACGAAGGCCAGGGGAGCAAACGGG
rnacentral:rRNA from 1 species